rnacentral:rRNA from 1 species
AGAGUUUGAUCAUGGCUCAGAACGAACGCUGGCGGCAGGCUUAACACAUGCAAGUCGAGCGCCCCGCAAGGGGGAGCGGCAGACGGGUGAGUAACGCGUGGGAAUCUACCCAGUUCUACGGAAUAACACAGGGAAACUUGUGCUAAUACCGUAUACGCCCUACGGGGGAAAGAUUUAUCGGAAUUGGAUGAGCCCGCGUUGGAUUAGCUAGUUGGUGGGGUAAUGGCCUACCAAGGCGACGAUCCAUAGCUGGUCUGAGAGGAUGAUCAGCCACACUGGGACUGAGACACGGCCCAGACUCCUACGGGAGGCAGCAGUGGGGAAUAUUGGACAAUGGGCGAAAGCCUGAUCCAGCCAUGCCGCGUGAGUGAUGAAGGCCCUAGGGUUGUAAAGCUCUUUCAGUGGGGAAGAUAAUGACGGUACCCACAGAAGAAGCCCCGGCUAACUUCGUG